GUCGGUAUGGCCGAGUGGUUAUGGCGUUUGAUUAGAGAUCAAGUGGGUUUACCCGCGGGGGUUCGAAUCCUUCUGCCGACG
rnacentral:tRNA from 1 species